ACACUGCACUGGACAGAGACACUCAGUCCUUUGACCCCCCUGUGGGCAAUUCAAGGCCCUCCUGGCAGCUGGUUGCUCUCUCAGGCUGUGUCUGCUGCUGUUGCCACAAGAUUUAACAAUUUUAGCAAAGUAACUUAUUCUCUACUGAAUGACUACAUUGAUGAAAUUUGGAAGAGUUUAUUGAUUUAGCUUGUGUCCUGUAGUUUGUGGAACUGCUUAACAAAAAGUAACAUUCCAUGAAUGCUGCACUUUUCAUAAAUUUCCUAUCACCCAUUUUACCACUAUAAGACUCUGUUUCCUCAUACUUCCAAAGGUCCUAUAUACCUGAUAUCACCUCAUUGUCUGGUAUUUACUUGUACUCAUGCAUGUAUUAAAUUUUGAAUAUCUUGUAGUGAUCUGAUUACAUUAUUGUAAUUAUUAUCCCACAGGUGUUAGAGCCAACAAGGUUUUGUGGAAAAUAAUCCCUUUUUAAUUCCUCACAGUUUUGAAAAGCCAGCAUUGUGGAAUGAAUGGUGAGACAGUGCUAACUCCUGAACCUGUUGCAGCUGAGAGGUCAUGGGCAUCUGCCAUCCAAGGUCAGCAUCCUUUUUGUUCAAUCUGUCUUUUGACCUAUUGCUGCUGGGUUUGGUAAAAUUUUGAAGUUUGCAUUUAGAGAGACAUGGAUUUUAUCUUAUUGAAUCACGGGUUUUUUUACAAUGUGAAGAG